rnacentral:rRNA from 1 species
GUACACUCCUGCGGGAGGCAGCAGUGGGGAAUAUUGGACAAUGGGCGCAAGCCUGAUCCAGCCAUGCCGCGUGAGUGAUGAAGGCCCUAGGGUUGUAAAGCUCUUUCACCGGUGAAGAUAAUGACGGUAACCGGAGAAGAAGCCCCGGCUAACUUCGUGCCAGCAGCCGCGGUAAUACGAAGGGGGCUGGCGUUGUUCGGAUUUACUGGGCGUAAAGCGCACGUAGGCGGACUAUUAAGUCAGGGGUGAAAUCCCGGGGCUCAACCCCGGAACUGCCUUUGAUACUGGUAGUCUUGAGUUCGAGAGAGGUGAGUGGAAUUCCGAGUGUAGAGGUGAAAUUCGUAGAUAUUCGGAGGAACACCAGUGGCGAAGGCGGCUCACUGGCUCGAUACUGACGCUGAGGUGCGAAAGCGUGGGGAGCAAACAGGAUUAGAUACCCCGGUAGUCCCAUGA